rnacentral:lncRNA from 1 species
AGGAGGGAGGGAGGGAGGAAGAGAGGAGGGCUCUACUCUAGGAGGGAGGGAGGGAGAGAUGAGGGCUCUACUCUAGGAGGGAGGGAGGGAGAGAUGAGGGCUCUACUCUAGGAGGGAGGGAGGAAGAGAGGAGGGAUCUACUCUAGGAGGGAGGGAGGAAGAGAUGAGGGCUCUACUCUAGGAGGGAGGGAGGGAGGGAGGGAGAGAUGAGGGCUCUACUCUAGGAGGGAGGGAGGAAGAGAUGAGAGCUCUACUCUAGGAGGCAGGGAGGAAGAGAUGAGGGCUCUACUCUAGGAGGGAGGGAGGGAGGGAGAGAUGAGGGCUCUACUCUAGGAGGGAGGGAGGAAGAGAGGAGGGAUCUAAAGGCGUCCUCAUGCUUCUUGUGCGGAACAGUUUGUUCAUAUAUUAUGUCUUUCUUCAUUUUGGUCUUCACCAAGGUUUUUUUGGGGCUGUUUGCGCACACAUUUUUUUCUCGAAGCAAACUGAAGAUCUGGAGCCGAAGUCUUUACCCCUUCAUCAUCAUUGGUCAACAGUAGGGAUUAUUCAAAUGUGUUGUCGUUCAACGAUGGACGACUCGUUUUUAUGCACAUUUUUUCACUUGAGAAAUACUGCACCAAACAUCUUAGUUAGAUGCUCGACUAAAGUGAAAGACUCACCAGAAGUGGGCGGGCAGAAAGUCCAUGUCUCCAAUCAUCUUUGCUGAUAGCAAUGUUAUGUUUCCAUAAGUGGAUGAAUUGGUCUAAUGUAGCAUGUAUGGUAAAGCCUCAACCCUUAGCUAUCUCUUCCAACUCAAAUGAGCAAAAAAAAAUGGAAUAAUGAAAAAAUAUGUGUUUUGUGUGACUACAGCACCAGUGAUAGAAGGUAAAUAUGUGUUGUUUUGUGUCUACAGCACCAGUGAUAGAAGGUAAAAUAUGUGUUGUUUUGUGUGACUACAGCACCAGUGAUAGAAGGUAAAUAUGUGUUGUUUUGUGUGACUACAGCACCAGUGAUAGAAGGUAAAAUAUGUGUUGUUUUGUGUGACUACAGCACCAGUGAUAGAAGGUAAAAUAUGUGUUGUUUUGUGUGACUACAGCACCAGUGAUAGAAGGUAAAUAUGUGUUGUUUUGUGUGACUACAGCACCAGUGAUAGAAGGUAAAUAUGUGUUGUUUUGUGUGACUACAGCACCAGUGAUAGAAGGUAAAAUAGAGACAUGUUCUUAUUGAGGCACUGGCUUCGGUUGGGUCAUUAUAAUUCAAAACAAUAUAUUCUAAAAUAAAUCACACACACGCCUCGCACGGUCACCUUUGGUGAGUUUAGGCCAUUAGAUCUCCUCUGCAAAAACGUCUAAAUUAAUCACAGAUUUCUUGAGUUUCUUCAUUUAAUUCUGACAAUUUUGAGGGAGUGUAUAUUAUUGCGGGUGUAGUGAAAUGUUUGUGUUCCUAGCUCCAACAGUGCAGUAGUGUCUAACAAUUCACAACAAUACACAAAUCUAAAAGUAAAGAAUGGAAUAAGAAAUAUAUAAAUAUUAGGAUGAGUGGCAUUGACUAAAAUACAGUAGAAUAGAAUACAGUAUAUACAUAUGAGAUGAGUAAAGCAUUACUUUUAAGGGAGUAUGCGAGCACACUUGUUUAGCUUGCCGCCUUUAGGGGGGAGGGUGUAAGGAAAGGGUGUAAGGAACGUGGGGGGGGGGUUCUCUGGUAAAAACUAGGAAAAAUAGAGAUGAAAGGAAUAGUUGAGGAGGGGCUGAUUGGAGGGGUGUAGUCCCAAUGUAAGGAGAGAGAUGGGGGACAAUAGAAGGAUCUACUGUAUGGAGACACACAGACUAGACAAAGCUAAGUUAAUACACACCCAUAUGAUCAUUGUGACUGUGUACGUGUCUUGGGGAGAGAGAGUUAGGGUAUGGUUGUCUGGGGCGUACGGGCAAGAGGGGGACAAGAUGGGUGUGUUUAAUCAGUGGAACAAUGGCAGUCUGCUCACAAACAGGAUCUCUCUGUUUCCUGAGUCUCUCUCUCUCUCUUACUCACACACAGAAAGAGAGACACACAGACAUGUACGCAUGCACUCACAAACAAUCCAUAUAUUUAUAUGUAUAUAUACUUGUUCCGUUCCUUUACUUAGAUUUGUGUGUAUUAUGUAGUUGUUGUGGGAUUGUUAGAUUACAUGUUAGAUAUUGCUGCACUGUCAGAACUAGAAGCACAGCACAGCAUUUCGCAACACUCAUAAUAACAUCUGCUAACCAUGUGUAUGUGACCAAUAACAUUUGAUUUGAUUUGAUUAAGCCUUCACUUCACUGGUAAUAUCAAAUUAUUCUCAGCAGAAACAGAUUUAACAAGAACAGCAGGGGGCGGAAGAGUGAAACAUGGAGCAGACUCAGCAUAAACAGACACACACACACACACACACACACACACACACACACACACAUACAUUGACACAGUCAGCAUGUGCACUCUCUACAAUCAGUAAAAACACACCUGUCCCAGCUGUUGUUUUGAAGAGAGAAAAAGGGUGAAAGAAGGAGGGAGGAAUGUGCUUCUCUCUCAUUUUUUCCUGUCACCCCCUCCUCUCUGUCUCUCUCUCCUCCUCCUCCUCUCUGUCUCGCUCUCCUCACCGCCUCCUCUCUGUCCCUCUCUCCUCACCCCCUCCUCUGUCUCUCUGUCUCGCUCUCCUCACCCCCCUCCUUGCUGUCCCUCUCUCCUCACCCCCUCCUCUGUCUCUCUGUCUCGCUCUCCUCACCCCCCUCCUUGCUGUCCCUCUUUCCUCACCCCCUCCUCUGUCUCUCUGUCUCGCUCUCCUCACCCCCCCUCCUUGCUGUCCCUCUUUCCUCACCCCCUCCUCUGUCUCUCUGUCUCGCUCUCCUCACCCCCCUCCUUGCUGUCCCUCUCUCCUCACCCCCUCCUCUGUCUCUCUGUCUCGCUCUCCUCACCCCCCCUCCUUGCUGUCCCUCUCUCCUCACCCCCUCCUCUCUGUCUCUCUGUCUCGCUCUCCUCACCCCCCUCCUUGCUGUCCCUCUCUCCUCACCCCCUCCUCUGUCUCUCUGUCUCGCUCUCCUCACCCCCCUCCUUGCUGUCCCUCUUUCCUCACCCCCUCCUCUGUCUCGCUCUCCUCACCCCCCCUCCUUGCUGUCCCUCUCUCCUCACCCCCUCCUCUGUCUCUCUGUCUCGCUCUCCUCACCCCCCUCCUUGCUGUCCCUCUCUCCUCACCCCCUCCUCUCUGUCUCUCUCCUCAGUUUCCUUUUUUAUGUUUUUACUUCUCAGAUGUUAGUUCUGUCUCCCUCUUCCUUGUUGUUACCCCUGACCUUCCCGUAUCUUGAUCAUCCCUGUGUGUGUGCGCGUGUCUGUCUGUGUGUGCAUACAGUGGGGGAAAAAAGUAUUUGAUCCCCUGCUGAUUUUGUAUGUUUGCCCACUGACAAAGAAAGGAUCAGUCUAUAAUUUUAAUGGUAGGUUUAUUUGAACAGUGAGAGACAGAAUAACAACAACAAAUAAUGCAUGUCAAAAAUGUUAUAAAUUGAUUUGCAUUUUAUUGAGGGAAAUAACAUUUUUUGGACAUGCGUUUUUCUGGAUUUUUUUGUUGUUAUUCUGUCUCUCACUGUUCAAACAAACCUACCAUUAAAAUUAUAGACUGAUCCUUUCUUUGUCAGUGGGCAAACGUACAAAAUCAGCAGGGGAUCAAAUACUUUUUUUCCCCCACUGUAUGUGUGUGUGCAUGCAUGCCUGCCUGUCUGCAUGCCGGCUUGUGUUCCUGCAGGUAAAAGAGACAGAUAGCAGAGGGGUGCUGUGAUUGACUUAUACAACACACACACACACACACACACACACACACACACACACACACAGAGAGAGAGAUAAGAGCAGAUGUAACAGUGUAGGUUCCAUCCCUCUCUUCGCCCCAACCUGGGCUCGAACCAGGGACCCUUGCACACAUCAACAACUGUCACCCCACGAAGCAUCAUUACCCGUCGCGCCACAAAAGCCGCGUCCCUUGCAAUGCAAGGGGAAACCCUACUUCAAGUCUCAGAGCCAGUGACGUCACUGAUUGAAACGCUAUUAGCGCGCACCACCGCUAACUAACUAGCCAUUUCACACCGGUUACACAGAGGUGGAAAAAGUAUAAAUCAUUUUUAAUAUAAGGAAUAAAAAUCGUGUCGUCUGGUUUGCUUAUAGUUUUUUUCUCAUUUAGGGAUAGCUAGGGGCAAAGUUCAGUACUCAGACAUAAUUUACAAAUGAAUCAUUUGUGUUUAGUGAGUCUGCCAGUUCAGAGGCAGAAGGGAUGACCAGGGAUGUUCUCUUGAUAAGUGCGUGAAAUAGACAAUUUUCCUGUUGUCACGUCGUGACCCUAGUAAGAUGUCAUUUUCUACAGUAGAGUAGGGCAGGGCGUGACAGGGGGUGUUAAGGGUUGUUCUAUGUUUUCUAUUUCUAUGUUUAAGUUCUAGUUUGUCUAUUUCAAUGUUGUGAUUGUUUGGGGUUGAUCUCUAAUUGGAGGCAGCUGAUCCUCAUUGCCUCUGAUUAGAGAUCAUAUUUAAGUAGGGGUUUUCCUCAUUGUUGUUUGUGGGUUAUUAUCUUUUGAGUAGUGUGUUGUCCUCGCUGCGUCACGGUUUGUUGUUUUUGUGUUUUCAAGUAUUUAAGUGUAUUACAUUCAGUUUCACGUUUAAUAAAUAUGUGUAAUACUGAACACGCUGCAUUUUGGUCCCCUCCUUCAAACAACCGUAACACCUGUCCUGGGUGAACAGUAAACGUUUUGUAUUCAUAACCCAUUUGUUUGUAAGAAAAUAUAAAUGGGAUCAAAUUUGGUUUGUAUUCAAAGUUUGGGCAGACUAGACUUUUUCAAUUCAAAAUGAUUAACUGGAAUGAGUCAAUAAACACAAUAGCUGUCGUAGACUGUGAGUACAUGUUUAAUUAGGACUACAGUUGCAUAAGGCAGGACUACACAACGCAAACAUGCAUAAAGCAAGCUACACCCAUUGUGUGUUAUUGUCCAAUCAUGCUGCUUUCUCUGCGUCUGUGUGUAGGAAACCCCCCUAGUCCUUCUUUAAAAUAGAAUUCAUAUGAACAAGUACAAGGUUGCUGCAGUUUGACAGGGUUUUCAUCCUCUACAAUGCCAGGAGUUUUUCAAGGAGUUUUUUAAAGCCAUGUGACUAUUAGAAAAACUCUGGUCCCAUCAUAGCCCAUAUUAAACAGAUUAAUCAUGUCAUACUGUAUAAGGUCUGGAGUUUCACCUGGUUAGGUCACCAGAUCAGGAAAAAUUACGGGCCCCAGAAUGCAUUUUUCACCACACCACUCUGGGACCUGAGGUGCCACCUCUGGAUAGGAGAUUGACCACUCAAAUCAAAUCAAAUUGUUUCGGUCACAUACACGUAUUUAGCAGAUGUUAUUGUGUGUGUAGCGAAAUUCUUGUGUUCCUAGCUCCAACAGUGCAGUAGUACCUGCAACAGUGCAGUAGUCACACAGACUGAGAGACAUAGUUAAAACUGCAAUAUGUAACUUUAUGGGUGACCUGACCAAAUUCACAUACGUUAUAGGUCUGUCAUUCUCACUGAAAGCAAGUCUAAAAAGCUGUAGAUCUGUUCUAUCUGCUCUAUUUCUAUGCUUCCCAUUCUUAAGUGUCGUUUUUGCAUCUUUUACUUUCAGUUUUGUACAGCAGCUUCAAACAGUUGAAAAUACAAUAUGUUUGGUUAUUUAUCUAUAUUUCACAGCGGUUUAGAUGGUACAAUGAUUCCCUACACUCCGAGUGCUUGUUUUGUCACAAACUGAAAUGAGGUGAACUAUCAGUAUUUUAGCAACCAGGAAAAGGUGGAGCGAUUUCUGCAUAUUGUACCUUUAGUUAAAUCAUGCUGUUGUCGUUGAUCACAUUCAACCAAUUAUGAUCCACGUGGUCUCUCUUCAACAGUACUGAUGAUUGUGUCUGUGGACAUUUGGCAAAUUUUGAUUGAUAGCUCACUCUGGGUGGGAAUCUGACUGAUACCUAGUUUUUGAUAGAGAGAUUUUUGUGAGAUUUCAGAUUCUGUUCAUGUAUUUAUAGGCUAAUGUCUUCUCUUAAUUAGACAGCUAAUAGUCUUGUCUUGUCCAUCACUACCAACAG